GAUCAUGGCUCAGGAUGAACGCUGGCGGCGUGCCUAACACAUGCAAGUCGAACGGACUUACAUUGAAGCCUAGCGAUAUGUAAGUUAGUGGCGGACGGGUGAGUAACGCGUGGGUAACCUGCCUUGUACUGGGGGACAACAGUUGGAAACGACUGCUAAUACCGCAUAAGCGCACAGAUUCGCAUGAAGCGGUGUGAAAAACUCCGGUGGUACAAGAUGGACCCGCGUCUGAUUAG
rnacentral:rRNA from 1 species